GCGGCGGACGGGUGAGUAACACGUGGGUAACCUGCCUGUAAGACUGGGAUAACUCCGGGAAACCGGGGCUAAUACCGGGUGCUUGAUUGAGCCGCAUGGUUCAAUUAUAAAAGGUGGCUUUCAGCUACCACUUACAGAUGGACCCGCGGCGCAUUAGCUAGUUGGUGAGGUAACGGCUCACCAAGGCGACGAUGCGUAGCCGACCUGAGAGGGUGAUCGGCCACACUGGGACUGAGACACGGCCCAGACUCCUACGGGAGGCAGCAGUAGGGAAUCUUCCGCAAUGGACGAAAGUCUGACGGAGCAACGCCGCGUGAGUGAUGAAGGUUUUCGGAUCGUAAAACUCUGUUGUUAGGGAAGAACAAGUACCGUUCGAAUAGGGCGGCACCUUGACGGUACCUAACCAGAAAGCCACGGCUAACUACGUGCCAGCAGCCGCGGUAAUACGUAGGUGGCAAGCGUUGUCCGGAAUUAUUGGGCGUAAAGCGCGCGCAGGCGGUUUCUUAAGUCUGAUGUGAAAGUCCCCGGCUCAACCGGGGAGGGUCAUUGGAAACUGGGGAACUUGAGUGCAGAAGAGGAGAGUGGAAUUCCACGUGUAGCGGUGAAAUGCGUAGAGAUGUGGAGGAACACCAGUGGCGAAGGCGACUCUCUGGU
rnacentral:rRNA from 1 species